GUCUACGGCCAUACUACCCUGAACAUGCAGGAUCUCAUCUGAUCUUGAAAGCUAAACAGGGUCAGGCCUGGUUAGUGCCCGGAUGGGUGUACU
rnacentral:rRNA from 1 species